UUAAGCGACUAAGCGUACACGGUGGAUGCCCUGGCAGUCAGAGGCGAUGAAGGACGUGCUAAUCUGCGAUAAGCGUCGGUAAGGUGAUAUGAACCGUUAUAACCGGCGAUUUCCGAAUGGGGAAACCCAGUGUGUUUCGACACACUAUCAUUAACUGAAUCCAUAGGUUAAUGAGGCGAACCGGGGGAACUGAAACAUCUAAGUACCCCGAGGAAAAGAAAUCAACCGAGAUUCCCCCAGUAGCGGCGAGCGAACGGGGAGCAGCCCAGAGCCUGAAUCAGUGUGUGUGUUAGUGGAAGCGUCUGGAAAGGCGCGCGAUACAGGGUGACAGCCCCGUACACAAAAAUGCACAUGCUGUGAGCUCGAUGAGUAGGGCGGGACACGUGGUAUCCUGUCUGAAUAUGGGGGGACCAUCCUCCAAGGCUAAAUACUCCUGACUGACCGAUAGUGAACCAGUACCGUGAGGGAAAGGCGAAAAGAACCCCGGCGAGGGGAGUGAAAAAGAACCUGAAACCGUGUACGUACAAGCAGUGGGAGCACGCUUCGGCGUGUGACUGCGUACCUUUUGUAUAAUGGGUCAGCGACUUAUAUUCUGUAGCAAGGUUAACCGAAUAGGGGAGCCGAAGGGAAACCGAGUCUUAACUGGGCGUUAAGUUGCAGGGUAUAGACCCGAAACCCGGUGAUCUAGCCAUGGGCAGGUUGAAGGUUGGGUAACACUAACUGGAGGACCGAACCGACUAAUGUUGAAAAAUUAGCGGAUGACUUGUGGCUGGGGGUGAAAGGCCAAUCAAACCGGGAGAUAGCUGGUUCUCCCCGAAAGCUAUUUAGGUAGCGCCUCGUGAAUUCAUCUCCGGGGGUAGAGCACUGUUUCGGCAAGGGGGUCAUCCCGACUUACCAACCCGAUGCAAACUGCGAAUACCGGAGAAUGUUAUCACGGGAGACACACGGCGGGUGCUAACGUCCGUCGUGAAGAGGGAAACAACCCAGACCGCCAGCUAAGGUCCCAAAGUCAUGGUUAAGUGGGAAACGAUGUGGGAAGGCCCAGACAGCCAGGAUGUUGGCUUAGAAGCAGCCAUCAUUUAAAGAAAGCGUAAUAGCUCACUGGUCGAGUCGGCCUGCGCGGAAGAUGUAACGGGGCUAAACCAUGCACCGAAGCUGCGGCAGCGACACUAUGUGUUGUUGGGUAGGGGAGCGUUCUGUAAGCCUGUGAAGGUGUGCUGUGAGGCAUGCUGGAGGUAUCAGAAGUGCGAAUGCUGACAUAAGUAACGAUAAAGCGGGUGAAAAGCCCGCUCGCCGGAAGACCAAGGGUUCCUGUCCAACGUUAAUCGGGGCAGGGUGAGUCGACCCCUAAGGCGAGGCCGAAAGGCGUAGUCGAUGGGAAACAGGUUAAUAUUCCUGUACUUGGUGUUACUGCGAAGGGGGGACGGAGAAGGCUAUGUUGGCCGGGCGACGGUUGUCCCGGUUUAAGCGUGUAGGCUGGUUUUCCAGGCAAAUCCGGAAAAUCAAGGCUGAGGCGUGAUGACGAGGCACUACGGUGCUGAAGCAACAAAUGCCCUGCUUCCAGGAAAAGCCUCUAAGCAUCAGGUAACAUCAAAUCGUACCCCAAACCGACACAGGUGGUCAGGUAGAGAAUACCAAGGCGCUUGAGAGAACUCGGGUGAAGGAACUAGGCAAAAUGGUGCCGUAACUUCGGGAGAAGGCACGCUGAUAUGUAGGUGAAGUCCCUCGCGGAUGGAGCUGAAAUCAGUCGAAGAUACCAGCUGGCUGCAACUGUUUAUUAAAAACACAGCACUGUGCAAACACGAAAGUGGACGUAUACGGUGUGACGCCUGCCCGGUGCCGGAAGGUUAAUUGAUGGGGUUAGCGCAAGCGAAGCUCUUGAUCGAAGCCCCGGUAAACGGCGGCCGUAACUAUAACGGUCCUAAGGUAGCGAAAUUCCUUGUCGGGUAAGUUCCGACCUGCACGAAUGGCGUAAUGAUGGCCAGGCUGUCUCCACCCGAGACUCAGUGAAAUUGAACUCGCUGUGAAGAUGCAGUGUACCCGCGGCAAGACGGAAAGACCCCGUGAACCUUUACUAUAGCUUGACACUGAACAUUGAGCCUUGAUGUGUAGGAUAGGUGGGAGGCUUUGAAGUGUGGACGCCAGUCUGCAUGGAGCCGACCUUGAAAUACCACCCUUUAAUGUUUGAUGUUCUAACGUUGACCCGUAAUCCGGGUUGCGGACAGUGUCUGGUGGGUAGUUUGACUGGGGCGGUCUCCUCCUAAAGAGUAACGGAGGAGCACGAAGGUUGGCUAAUCCUGGUCGGACAUCAGGAGGUUAGUGCAAUGGCAUAAGCCAGCUUGACUGCGAGCGUGACGGCGCGAGCAGGUGCGAAAGCAGGUCAUAGUGAUCCGGUGGUUCUGAAUGGAAGGGCCAUCGCUCAACGGAUAAAAGGUACUCCGGGGAUAACAGGCUGAUACCGCCCAAGAGUUCAUAUCGACGGCGGUGUUUGGCACCUCGAUGUCGGCUCAUCACAUCCUGGGGCUGAAGUAGGUCCCAAGGGUAUGGCUGUUCGCCAUUUAAAGUGGUACGCGAGCUGGGUUUAGAACGUCGUGAGACAGUUCGGUCCCUAUCUGCCGUGGGCGCUGGAGAAUUGAGGGGGGCUGCUCCUAGUACGAGAGGACCGGAGUGGACGCAUCACUGGUGUUCGGGUUGUCAUGCCAAUGGCACUGCCCGGUAGCUAAAUGCGGAAGAGAUAAGUGCUGAAAGCAUCUAAGCACGAAACUUGCCCCGAGAUGAGUUCUCCCUGACCCUUUAAGGGUCCUGAAGGAACGUUGAAGACGACGACGUUGAUAGGCCGGGUGUGUAAGCGCAGCGAUGCGUUGAGCUAACCGGUACUAAUGAACCGUGAGGCUUAACCUU
rnacentral:rRNA from 1 species